CACCCAGACUCCUACGGGAGGCAGCAGUGGGGAAUAUUGCACAAUGGGGGAAACCCUGAUGCAGCGACGCCGCGUGAGCGAUGAAGUAUUUCGGUAUGUAAAGCUCUAUCAGCAGGGAAGAAGAUGACGGUACCUGACUAAGAAGCCCCGGCUAACUACGUGCCAGCAGCCGCGGUAAUACGUAGGGGGCAAGCGUUAUCCGGAUUUACUGGGUGUAAAGGGAGCGUAGACGGCGAUGCAAGCCAGAUGUGAAAGCCCAGGGCUCAACCCCGGGACUGCAUUUGGAACUGUGUGGCUGGAGUGUCGGAGAGGCAGGCGGAAUUCCUAGUGUAGCGGUGAAAUGCGUAGAUAUUAGGAGGAACACCAGUGGCGAAGGCGGCCUGCUGGACGAUGACUGACGUUGAGGCUCGAAAGCGUGGGGAGCAAACAGGAUUAGAUACCCGAGUA
rnacentral:rRNA from 1 species